CCUACGGGCUGCACCAGUGGGGAAUUUUGGACAAUGGGCGCAAGCCUGAUCCAGCAAUGCCGCGUGCAGGAUGAAGGCCUUCGGGUUGUAAACUGCUUUCGUACGGAACGAAAAGCCCUGGGCUAAUACCCUGGGGUCAUGACGGUACCGUAAGAAUAAGCACCGGCUAACUACGUGCCAGCAGCCGCGGUAAUACGUAGGGUGCAAGCGUUAAUCGGAAUUACUGGGCGUAAAGCGUGCGCAGGCGGUUUUGUAAGACAGAGGUGAAAUCCCCGGGCUCAACCUGGGAACUGCCUUUGUGACUGCAAGGCUAGAGUACGGCAGAGGGGGAUGGAACUCCGCGUGUAGCAGUGAAAUGCGUAGAUAUGCGGAGGAACACCGAUGGCGAAGGCAAUCCCCUGGGCCUGUACUGACGCUCAUGCACGAAAGCGUGGGAGCAAACAGGAUUAGAUACCCGCGUAGUC
rnacentral:rRNA from 1 species